rnacentral:rRNA from 1 species
UAAGUGAAGAGUUUGAUCCUGGCUCAGAGUGAACGCUGGCGGUAGGCCUAACACAUGCAAGUCGAACGGCAGCACA